GCCCCAGGCGCUCGGGUCGUGAAGGAGCUGAGGGCCCUACAGGCUGAGCCACCCGAGGGGCGUUCCGAGGUUCCGGGCGGGGCCGACCGAGGGGGCUCCUUCGGGCCCCACCAGCCUUGCGCCUUUUUCGCUCGGUCUCCUUGGCCUCCCGCUCUUGCGAUGCCGCUUUCCUUUUCUCUUGCUCCCGGGCUCGGGCCUCGGCCGGGGGCCCCGCCCGCCAGUUGGUCGCCUCCUGCAGCACCCUGGAGGCCCAGGGACGGCGGGGCGGCGGUUCAGGGGAUCCCGAGCGCGGCCCACACCUGGGACAAUGAGCAGGAACCCAGGUGAGCAGUUUGUGGGGGAAGGGGGCCGAAAUCCGGGGAGCUGGGAGCACUGGAGACCAUUUGGGGCAGGUGUGUGGAGGGGUGUGUGUGAGUGUGUGUGCGUGUGCACGUGCGUAUACGUUAGGGCUGAAGUCGAAGCCGGACUCCUCACCAUCUCUCCAUGCACACUUUAACAGUGUCUGCCCCAUCUCACCUCUUGCCCUUCCUCACACCCACUCCUGCCCCCCAAAACAAUGCGGGACGAGUCAGGCCCCAGCCCUCGGGAUGGGGUGGGGGGAGGCGUGGGAAAGAGAAGGGGGACCAGCAGCACUGGCUGGUGCCUGCGGGGAGGUCCGGACCCCACUCCCCGCCCCACCACUCUCUUCCCGUCACCCCUCCUUCACUCACGUGCGGCUCUGGGGCCCACGGGCCCAGUGGCUGGCUUGGAAGUCCAUGGGCUGUCGAGGAGGGGCGCGGCGACUAUAAUGACAGGAAAUUGUCUUCACUUCGAUCACCAGCAGCUUGGAUUUCUGCACCCAGAGGCAGCUGCCAGACUCCUCAUCCUGGGGCUCCCGGGGGCUGUCGGGCCCCUCGGAGAAUAGCUGGCCAUCCAGCAUCCUGCCCCACCCCACCCCGGCCCCCCACCCUCCCACCCGCCCCGAGAGCCCCCUCCCAGCCCGAGGAGCCGGCGCCCACUGCAGAGCGAACGGGGCCAGAGACUGGGGACUAUAUAUACCCGGGCACACGUGUGUGCCUGUCUGUGUGUGUGUGCGCGCGCGCAUGUGACACGGCGCGGCGCGGACGGCACAGCGCUGUUACCUCCCCCAUGUGCACGGCCGCCCCCUGGGGCCCAGGAUUGGGCGCCCCUUCCCAUUGCUCAUGUCCCCCAAGCCUGAUGGGACCUGCGUGAGUGGGCAGGGGACUUCUAAUUCUUGCCAAGCUGACGGUGCCCCUCCCCCACCCCCAUUUCUUCAAGCUUCCUGUCGUUUUAAUCCUUCCCUCUUCUGCUUGUCGGGGUGCCUGACCACCAGGGUUCUGCCUCUGACUUCCUGCCUCGGAUUUCAGUUUCCCGGACAGGGAGGUGAUGGGAAUGGAAGUCAAGGUCUCUGCCUGCCACUCUCCGCUGGUUUCCAUGGGGUUGGGGUGCAGGGGGUCUAUUUUUAGCGGCAGUGGCUGUUCGGGUGCAGAGAGAUGAGUAACCAGCUUCCAUGCGGUGGAGGGAGGAGGCGGUGGUUUUCACACAGCUUUUAUGUGACUCUGGGGGAGAGCUGCCUCCCCCAAGCCCAGAAAGGGUAACCUCCACACCCUUAACUCCUUACCCUCUCAGUGUUGCAGCCCAGGGCUGCUUGUACAGCUGCACACAGGAGUCUGUCUUGGCCAUCCUAACUGUCCCACACUCCUGUUCCACAUGUUUGUCCUUGGGGACCUAUGGAGCCCUCUCCCCGCAGCAGGCUCUCUCCCCCAAUCCAGGAGCCAGGACUUGGGGGUCAUACUGUUCUGUGCCCACACAGCUCUGCUGAGCCUUAUGGAGGACAGACCACGGUGGUUAUGCAUUUGCACCCUUUCAGAAGUGAUGGAGGAGGAAUACUGUGCUCUCUUGGCAAAACCAACCCCCUAGCAACUGAAAUGAUGAAAGUGGCCCCCACUUCCCAGGGUAGAGCUUCCCCUCACCACUACCACAAUCCCUGGCUCACUUCCCCCCCACCUGAAGUGGUGCUUAAGAUGGUCACCUUUUAGGAUCAUUCUGUCCCAGGGGCAGAAGGUGUUGCUUACAUCUACAUGAUCCCUCCCCCCAAGCCUAUACCAGGUGUCCCCUGAUUCACCAUGGUAAUGUUAGUGGCAGCACAGCCCACGCCAACCCUUCCAUGCAGAGACUUAGCAACCAUGCCUGGCAACCAUGGCAGCAGCUCCAGUGGAGGAGACGGGUGCAGGGAGGUGGGAGAAGAGUGUGUAUGGCAAUGGUUGCUGAGGAAGAAGGGAUAAUUUGCCUCUUCUAAGAGGACUAAGUAAGAAUAAGCUAUGAGGCUCCUCAAUUUUGUCCCUUAUCUUUCCUUCUACUCCAUUCUCAGAUUCUGAGACUGAUUGGUUGGGUUUUAGGGGAGAAUGGGAGAGGCAAAAGAUCAUGCAGCCCUUUGGGUACAGACCCUUCCUUUUACGAAGAUGGAGCCAGAAGGGUGUUGUGGGGCAGAGAUGGACUUACUGAGAACCAGAACAAUCAAACCCAGGCUCCCUGCUCCCCAAUAUGGACCUUUAAGAUAACCCAAACAGCCCCUAUUCCAACCAUUGGAGGCCCCUCCCCCCUCCCCAGACCCUUCACACACCUACCAGCUCUGCACACUGGUGGCUCUUUGCUCCACAGUGCUUCCUUCCACCUAGGUCCCACCAGAGUCCUAAGGCUUUUUAAAGCCCUUGCCUCCUCCCUAGACAAACUCUCCAUGAUGGAAUGUGACAUAAGGAGACAUCUGUCCUUUCCAUCAUGCACUCACCACCCCCCCACAUAAACAUACCCUAAUUCUAAUAACUUGGAAGCCUCCCUCCCCCAAGUCUGGGAAUGUGCUGUAAGCUGUGAAGAAGAGAAUGCAGAAGCAGGGACUUUCUCCAGAGCCAAGAUGGGGGCCCUGACAGAUGCCUUGAAACUCUUGCGCAUGUGCCGUCAGGAAACCUACUUUGGAGGAACCAAUAUAGUAUGUCAGGGUUCAUCAGAGUUCUUAGGUACAGUGUGCGUACGGCAAGGAAUUACUCCAAGAUUGCUUCUGGUCUUGAGCAGGAAACGGUAUCAAACCUACAAGUCAGUGGUGAGAUGGCACCCAAAAUCUGGCUCAUGCCCAACAGUCUAGCAGUCCUUAUGGUGUUUGGUAUUGACUAUUUUGGCCCACACGGUUUCAGCACAGGUAAAGAGCCUGCUCCCCACAACCCUCACCCUCCAGCUCAUUCGCACGUUGGCUGAAUGGCAAGGCAUUUUGUGGGUUCAAAGACAGUGCCAGCUCAGCAAAAUUCAAACACAGAGUCCAACCUUCCCUGAGAAAAGUUGAUGACUGUGGCAUGUCUCUCUGCCUAAAGAAGACCUCAGUCUCUCUACUCUCUGGAGACAAAAUACUAUUAUGAGAUUUUCCUGGGGUCCAGUUAUGGUUCAGGCAGAGGGGAAAGUGAGGUAACAAGGAGAAUUUCUGGGAAUAGGCUGGGAAAGGUAGUAAGUCUAGCACAGUAGUAAAGAGCAGGAGCUCUGGGGCCAGACUGUUGGGUUCAAAUCCUAGCUCUACAUUUUAUUAGAUGUGUGGCCUUGAGCUGGUUCUUAGUCUUCUGUGCCUCAGUUUUUUUGAACAAUCUGUAAAACUGGAAUCAUGCCUACCAUUGUUCUGAGGAUUAAAUGAAUUAAUAUAUGUAAGGCACAGAGAAUGGUGCCUGACACAAUUAUCUGUGUGUGUGUGUGUGUGUGUGUGUGUGUAUACAUGUGCCAUUAUUCUGUUGUUGUCAAUAAUGAGUUAAAGAAGCCAUAUGAAGUAGGACGUUUGAGCACAGUGUCUAUCAACUACAAGAAUCAAAAACACUGCAAUACCAUGAAGAGGUUCCUGUCAUUUUAAUUACGUUUGCCAUGAAAAGCAAUAACCUCAGCUAAUCACUCUGCCCUCCUCCUCUUCCUAACCCCCACCUCCCUUCAUAUGCACACAGCACAGGAACCCAAAGGCCCUCCUCCCCACAAUCCUCCCCACUGCCAUUAUGGGAAGAAAUGUCACUAAAUGGACUCAGCCUCCUCCAUACAGCAUUUAACAGGAUAAAUAAAAAUACCUUUAGAAGGGGUUUGUUGUGCUAUUAUCUCAGGGUGGAGUCAGGGGCAAAGGCAGAGGCAAAGGCUGGGUGAGGUCUGGGGAUCUCUUAGAGAUCAGAAUUUGCUUGAGGGGCACACAGCCCAUCAUUCACCCAGUAAGGGGGAUAUGUCUAAGAAGGCAGGGGCUAAGAUGGGCUAGGCUGUAUGUGUGAGGAUAAGGACAGCUAAAAAUCCAUUCUCCUUCCUCCCCCCACACCUUCCCCAGCUCCCAGGGAGUCCCAGGUAGGGGGCUCCCAAGCAGAGAACAGAGUUACAAUUCUCUUAAGGUUUCAUCUGUGGUUCCUAGAACUGUGGGCAGGCAGUGAGUGGGGUAUGUCCCCUGGUGCUGCCUGACCCGUUCCCCAGCUCAGGGCUUCUCUCCUCCUGUGAGCACCAGGGCCUGCAGGAUGUCAGACAGUGAUACAAUCCCCUUGACCACAUCAUUCUCAUCUACCACUACAAGUCGGUGAACCUGCGUGAAGCAACACAGGAGAAAAGGGAUUUUAGUAACGGCCUCAGUUAGGAUGAGCCCUUCAACCCCGACUCUUCUUGCCAAACCCCACACUCAAAGCUGCUUCCCCCAGCUCCUUCUGGGUCACUGGCCUCCCUACCUCUGCUUCCACCAGCCUGUUGAUGAUGGUCUCCAGAGUCUCAUGCAGGUAACACUUGAGGACACCCUCAAAGUAAUGUGAUCGAUGUUGGAGGGCUUUCGUCACAGACACAUCUAAGUUGUUGUAGGUCUUUUCUGCUGCCAGAUUCUGGGGAGAGAGAGGAAGGUGCUUGCAGGAAGCAAGGGAGCCAGCCCCCAACCCCUGACCCCACCCACCUACACCAGAGGGAUUUAGGGUAGUUGUCAGUCAUGCCCACAAGCCACACCCAACUCAUUCAAUUCCUUUUCAAAUAGGAUUCAAAAGUUUGGAAGCUUCUAAAACCCUUAGGUCCCAGAAGAGACUCUCUUCUACUCCCUCUCCACAUUCAAUACCCCACCCCUUUCCCUACCUCCCAGCCCCUCCACAAUCACUCACGAUAACAUCAAACUUGGAGUAGAUGUCCACCACACGCCCUAGGGGGACAGAGGCAGCUCAGCAAGGAGGAUCUGGCAUCCAAGGCUCCCCCUGCCUAUAGCAUCGCCCUCCGGGCUGAGCUGACGGACAGAUUUUCCCAGAACCACCCUGGCUUCCCUGGAGCCCUCCCUCUUCUUCUGUGAAAUCUCUCACCUUUCUCGUCUACUACUGGCAGUGCUGAAACUCGGUGUUGUACAAAGAUGCCCAGAGCCACGUAGACAGGGGUGGUGGUGCGGACCAUAGCAAUGUUAGCAUAGGUGCCAAUCUGUAGCUCUUCCAGAGACUUAGACAUGAACUCUGGCUUGGGGAACUCAGUGAUCUGAGGAGAAAACCAUCAGCUUGAUCUUGAAGGCUCCCCAAACCACCCCUGGAUACCCCUCCAACCUUGUAUAUAAGGAGUAAAAACCAGGCUGAGGACACUUACAAACAGUUUGAGGAACUUGAGGAUACGCUUGUGGGUAAGGAUGUACAAGGUGUUGCCUGAUUCUGGGUCAAUAACUGGCAGCCUGUGGAUCUUGUUUCGAAUUAAUGAAGAGACAGCAUCAAACAAGCUGUGGGAAGGUGGGGAAUAAAGAUAAGUCCCACAGUGCUGAGCCCAAGGUGGGUAAACAGCUUUUAAGAACAUAUUUACAAAGAGGGAAAACUGGUGACUGGGAGAGGACAGCAGUGUUCAAACCAGACCUAAAGAGUGUGUGAGUGUGUGUGUGUGUGUGUGUGCGCGUGUGUGUGUAUGUGUGUUUGUGAGGAGCAUCUUUUCUCUCUUCUGCCUCUAGAUCUCUGGGUAUCUAAAGCUUUAGCUACGCUGGUGGCAAGGCUCUUCCCUUUCUGGACAAAUGGGUAGCUGGAACUCACCUGGCAUUAGGAGAAAUGCAGACAAGUGGUUUGAAGGAGUCCUGUAGGUACACCUCUGAAGGGAAAAGGGAGGUUCACAAAAUACCAGUAUGGAAAACCACUUCCCACUAAACUCUCCAUCCCAUUUUCUUUUUACAACCCCCAAUUCUCUACAUACCUCUCCAAGUUUCUAUCUUGUGUUCUUCCAGCUCAUAGAUCUGUACCUGGAAGCAGAAGCAACAGAACUUGAGACUUGAUCUCUCUGCUGCAUUAACCCCUUGUAGUUUCCUUGGGAGAAAGGAACUGAGAAUGGGGGACUCUGGGUAGGGAAAGUGGUUUUGGUCAUUGCGCUAAGGUUCCUUACCAAGGCUGAUUUAUAGUAGCGAUGCAGGAUAUUGAUGAAAUCGGUGAUGGUCAGCAUGCCUAGAAGCCAAGACAAGAUCCUUCAGCACUGUUCAAAGCUUCUCUCCCUGCCCAGCACAAGAUGCCAAUAAUUCUGUGUUCCAGAAACUUUUGCUUACCCACAAAACUUUGCUUCUUACUAUCCCACAAAGGGGCAGCCCGUACACCAUUAGUCACCAAAGCAAAGAAAGCUUUCUUCACCUGUAGUCAAAAAAAGUAAUAAUCACAAAGGAAAAUUCACAGGGUGCAGGACUUUAAAAGAAAGGGGUUGGGUAUGCUGGGGAAAACAUGAGACUAAACCCAUAUAAGGACAGGGAUAUUACCCUUAGGAUGAGACAGGAUGAAAGUUUUUGAACCAGAGGCUCCUAGGAAGGGGGAUGGGAGAAGAGGAUUUCACCCACCUGCAGGGAAGUAUCAAAUACAACCAAUUUGGAGCUUGUGGGAAUCAGGUCAUAGCAGCGAUGAGACUUCAUGAAGGAAGUAUACACACUAUUGUUGGAUUCUGGGGUCUCUGCAUAGGGUGGGAUAGUUAGAAGCUUCCUUCCAUGCAUCAACUCACAAUCAAAAGAGGCAGAAAAUAAAAGUGUAGUUGUUCAAAUAUUUAGAGGCUGAUUUUUUUUUAUAAGGCCCCCUUGUCUAUCUAUUUUGUUCCUAUUCCCACAAAACCUGGAUAAACCUGUUAGAAACCAUUUCAUUCAACCCCCGACUCCAGGUAGGGCUAUAUUUAUUGGCUCCUUAUGCAAAAGAUGGCUGACUAAAACAGAAAGUCUAUAAUAUCUAUCAUUAACCUGUUUAGUCUAAAAGUUUUUUUCUCAUCUUUAACUCAAAUUUUCCCUUUCAUAUGUUUAAGCGCAUUUUCACUUGUUCUCUUUUCUCAGUGAAGAUGUAAUUAAGCUUCUUAAAAUUCAAGUAAGCUUCUUAAAAUUCUUCUAAGACCUACAGAUGAGAAAGUCCUGGUCCAAGUUGGGCCAUUUUAGAUCAACAUUCAGUUGGAGCCCAGUGCUCAAUUAACCUGGCCCAAAACACCCCGAGAGUCCAUCUUGGGAUGACCCUGUGAAUCAGAAAUCAUCUCACCUACUCUAGGCCAAUGGGAGACCCUGGAUGUGUUUACUUGUCUAUUCCUCGGAUUUUAAUUGCUUGCUUUAAACUGGAGAAGCAACCCACAAAAUAAUAACCUGAAUGUGCUAUGUACUAUGCUAUGUGUACUUUAAAAAUAUGACAUCAUUUAAUCCUCACAGAUUGACAGUAAAUCUGGAAAGCAAAUACUGUCCUCAUUUUUCAGAUGAGAAAACAGGUAGGAAGCAGUUAAAUAAACUGUUCAAGGUCACACCAUUAGUAAGUGACAAGAAAGACUUAAACACAGACCUACCUGAUGCCAAAGUUCAUGAUCUUAAAUCCUAUGCCAGUUGUUUGUUUUUAAUUUUUAACCAGUCAUACAGAUACACAGUUUAAAGAAUCAAAUAGUUCUACAAAUUUUGUUAAGAAAAACUAGUCCCUGGCACCUACUGCCCUGUACUAGCCCUCCCCAGAGAUGAGACCUCUUUUAGCUGAUCAUUUUGGCACUUAUUUCUAUGUGUAUAAAGUAACAAGCUAUAUAUAUUGCUCUUUUCUGAUAUUUCCUCUUUUGGGCAUUAUCUAUUAUCAUCCAAGGUAUAUGAGAAUUUUUAGUUCUCCUUCAUACUAAGACCCCAACACAAACAUGAACCUCCCAUCUCCCCAUUCUUCCAGAAGUUAAACUAUAAUGUUGGUUACAUUAGUAUUUAAAUAAUUUUGACUAAAUAUUAUUAUUCAGAGCUAAGCCCAACUGUAAACUCUUGACUUUUUUUUUCUUUUCCUUUUUUCUAAAGAUUUUAUUUGUUUAAAGUAACUUCUACACCCAAUGUGGGGCUUGAACUCACAAUCCUGAAAUCAAGAGUCAUAUGCUCCACUGACCAAGCCAGCCAGGCACCCCUUCAUUUAUUUUUUCUUUCUUUUGCAACUUUGUUUUCCCUGGAGUUAUUGUCGUCUUUUUUGUUUUUAAUAACUAAUUGAAGUAUUUAUAACUAAUGCAACCCCAAACUCUUCACCAAUUGUUUAAAUCUCCUUUUCAAGGGGUUCAGAAGCACUAGUCUAUCAAUUUAAACAACCCAAAGAAGUUUAUCCAGAGCCCAGUCUAUUCUGACCUGCCCAAAUCUGGGCUGGUUUGCUGCUGUGCACAGCUGUCAUCCUGAGAUCUUCCUUCAUCACCAUCCAGGGGCCCCCUUUCACGUCUCUCCUGUACUGGCAUUCCUGUGUCCUGUAUCCUAUGAUUUCAUCUUUUUUUUUUUAUUACUCCCUUGUUUUGGGAGUGUACAUCUUCCUGUAGCUUCCCGAGAAAGGGUGCAUGGGAGGUAAAUUUUUUGAGAACUUUCAGCCUGCAGAUAUCUUUAUUUUCUUUAUUUUACCUUCAUCUUUGAUGUAUAAUUUGGCUGGAUAUAGAAUUCUAGGUUUGAAUUUAUUUUCCUGCAGCAUGCUGAAGGCACUGCCCCAUUGCUGUCUAGCUUCUGGUGUGUUGAGAGUCUAAGGCAAUUCUGAUUCUUUUUAUGUAACUUGUUUUUUUCCUCUCUGAAGACUCAGGAUCUUCUCUUUGUUUCCAGUGUUUUGAAAUCUCAUGAUGAUUCUGGUUUAGGUGGGUCAAUUUCAUCCACUGUGCUGAAUACUCAAUGAGUCUUUUCAGUAUGAAAACUAAUGUCCUUCAGUUCCAGGAAAUGUUCUUGAAUUAUUUCCUUGAUCGUGUCCUUCCCUCUGUAAUGUCCUUUUUCUCUUUCUGUAAUUCCUAUUAUUUAUUUAUUUUAAAAUGUUUGUUUAUUUUUGAGAGAGAAAGAGUGUGGGCCCGCAAGCAAGGGAGGGACAGAGGAUCCAAAGCGGGCUUUGUGAUGACAGCAGAGAGCUGGAUGCGGGGCUGGAACUCAUGAAUGUGAGAUCAUGAACUGAGCCGAAGUGGGAUGCUCCACUCACUGAGCCACCCAGGCACCCCAUGUAACUGCUAUUAUGUAGAUUAUAAGAGUUCCUUGACUGACCCUUUAAGGUUGUUUUUAUUUGUUUUGGUUUUUUGUUUGGUGAAUUGUUGCUGUUGUUAAAAUAUCUUCUCUCCUAUUUUAUGCUCCUUUGUUUUGGGUGUGGUUUUUUUCCCCCACUUCUUUGAUUUUUGUGGGUUUUUUUUUAAGAUUGUAUUUUUAAGUAAUCUCUACACCCAACAUGGAACUCAAACUCACAACCUCAAGAUCACGAAUCACAUGCUGUCUGGACUGAGCCAGCCAGACACCCCACUUCUCUGAUUUUUAAUUCUACUUUUUGGGAAACUGCCUCAACCUAAUUUCCCAAACCUUCUACUUAGUUCUGAACUUUUGCUAUUAUACUUUUAAUAUCCUAGAGCCCCUCUUUGUUUUCUGAAAAUUCCUUUAAAAAAUGGUUUCCUGUACUUGUUGCAUAGUGGAAAUGUUCUUUAUCUGAAAUUAAUGUUAAUUUCUAAAGUUUUCUUCUCUAUGCAUUGAAUUUUUCCUUCUGUUGUUUUUCCUGUUUCUUUUAAAAAAUUUUUUUUAGUGUUUAUUUAUUUUUGAGAGAGGGAGAGAGAGAGAGAGAGAAAUGGCAUGAGUGGGGGAGAGACAGUGAAAGAGGGAGACAUAGCUGAGCUGUUAGCACAGAGCCAGACACGGGGCUCAAACUCACGGACUGCGAGAUCAUGACAUGAGCCAAAGUUGGGUGCUUAACCAACUGAGCCACCCAGGUGCCCCUUAUAUUUAUUUCUUUUGCAGGGCCAGUUUGGGUCAUUUUUCUUUUAAACAGUUUUUUUUUUUAAUGUUUGUUUAUUUGAGAGAGAGACAGACAGACAGAGUGCUAGCAGGGGAGGGGCAGAGAGAGAGAGAGAGAGAGACAGAGACAGAGACAGAAGCCAAAAGAGGCUCCAGGCUCUGAGCUGUCAGCACAGAGCCCGAUCUAGGGCGCAAAUCCACGAACCGAGCCGUGAGAUCAUGACCUGAGCCGAAGUCAGAUGCUUAACUGAAUGAGCCUCCCAGGCGCCCCUCCUAUUUGUUUCUUUUGGGGGGGAUGCAGUUUGGAUCUCUUUUCUUUUUUAAUGUUAGAGACUUUCUUUAGAUGUCUGGUAAUCCUUGGUUUAAAGGAGCACUCAAACCAUAUUCUAAGAGUGCAGUCUUUAAAGCUGAUUGGAAGCUCAAGUGUACACGUUAACUGUUAACACAGUUAACUUGUUAACUGUGAGCUGUUUAGAUGGGGAACAGUCCGUAUUUUUAGGGCUUUCUCUUCAAGGGGAUUCUGGAGAGAAGGAUUAUUUAUUCAGUUCCACGCUUGGGAGUAUGAAGUCUUUUCUGUCAGCAUUCUGGAAACUGGAUUGGAAAAAGGACUGGAAUUUCAGCAUCCAGAGUAGUUCACUUCGUGCUCCUGCAUUUGCUAUAGUACUUCAGCCCUCAACUAGGCCUGAGCCCCUCUCCAGACCUUCAGUCUUUGCCAAAGUUGGGAGGGGCAGCUUCCUAGCUGCACUCAGUGGAGCAGGGCGUCUCAGAUUCUGACUGCUUCUUAGAUCUUCAAUGCGUCUCGCCUUUCCCCAUUGCUAGUUUAUAAUUCAGUUUUCUCGGGUCUGCUAAAUCAUUUACCACUCUUGCCUCUGUUUUCCAGCUCCCAAUUACUAUUGUCUCCUCUUCUUUUUCUCCCUAUUCUGCCGGGUUUGUACCUUUUGAAAAAAAAUUUUUUAUGGUGGUUUUAGUCGCUCUUUGUAGAAGAACAAGAGUAGAUGUGUGUAUUCAAUCCACCACCUGUAACUGGAAGCCCACUAUUGUUUUUCAAAUUUGACAACUCACAGAACUCCCAAGAACAUGUCUUUUUUUUCAAGGUCGUGUAGGGGAAAACUGUGGCCUGUGCUGCUGGCCCCUGUGGGACUCCAGUAUUCCAAGUGUCCCCCAUCCUGGGACUCCCCUGCCUUGCCUGAGGCGGAUGGGCUAAAGGAGUUCCCAAGAACAUGUCUUUUGAUGUCAGUUUAAGGCAUACUUCAUUGAUAGUUAAAUAAUAUCAUUUUAGGCUACAGAAUUACAAGCAUAUUUGAUUUGGCUGUCUCAGUAGUUUAAAAGUAAUUUAAAUCAGUUCCCCAAUUUUAAAAAUCUGGAGAUUAACAUAAAGAUCCAAAUUCUCAAUUGCUUUCAAAAUCAGAUCUGACCAAACCAGGCUUGAAUUCCUAAACGGUGACAACGGACAAGACCUGGAUUGUUGCUGCCUCCUUUUACAUGUGACGAGAUCUACAGGUUGUCAGGAAUAUGCAGCCUCCAGCACUGCUUGGUUCAUGCAGACAGUUUGAGUUUUUGACCCUUGCCUUGGUGCUACUGCAAAUGUACUCGGAUACAUAAAACAGGCACUGCUAUCACGUGGCAGUCUCAGUUAUGAAGAAUAUCAUCCAGAUCAUUCAAAUAUGACCAUAUUAACUUUUCUGGAUACCAACAAAAUGAAAACAGAACAUUUAAAAAGUCUUGUGGAGAACUCAGAGACCCUUAAUAAUCUGUCCUAAGACCUCACCCCAUAUUUCAAUUCUCUGAGAAAGUAUGUACUCCUGAUACCAUAAAUAUGUCCUGGGAAGCCCCAGGAGUGUUCCUGGGCAAAAUCCUUUAAGGGGGGUGCCUAUAAGUUCUGCUUCUUUCUAGAUGGUCUACGGUUAACCAUUUCCUUCUCACCAGUUAUUCGGGAAGGUGCUGGAAUUGCCUUCUCCUGUGCCCUGGAUUUUAUGGUUUAGUGUCUCAAUUUCUAGAUUAGUUUUAAGGGCUUUCAAGGCCUUUCUAUAAUUUCUUGUGUACACUCAGUGGCUUUAGUGAGCUCACUGGAUGAUAAAAGCCUAGUGGCAUUGUUUCUGGGCUAAUUCAAAAGUACUAGGGGCCUUGAUUCAUGGUUAGGCAGCCCAGAGUUGCCUAUGGAAGUUUUUCCUCAAAAAUUUCCUUUAAGUGGUUUGAUAAUUGAAAAUCUUAGUCAUCCCCACCCUGCCCAAGAUUUACUCCUGGGUGCUCCUGCCAAAUUACUAUUCCUGAUUUGUAUGAUUUGGCACAUUAUCUGGCCCAGUUUUGAUUUUUCCCAGGGGGCAUCCUGAGAAGACUUGAAAACAUUGCUGAAGACAAGGUAUGGUUCAGCUAUUGCUUUCAUAGCCGGUCUCCUUUCUUUAGUAAACUUACCUUGAGAAUGCUCAUUUUCCAGAGCUGGGGAGCUAUCUGAAGAAGCAACCUGGAGAGACAAAAGAAACAAAGAUUCAGUCUAUCCUUGAUUCCAUCCAUUUUAGCCUAACAUUGGGAAGGGCUGGUGAACUAAUGACUUCAUUUAAAGCACCAUAAGGCCCUCUUGAAAUAUUAUCUCAUUUAAUCAUCAGAACCACCCUGAGGUAAAUACUCCUAUUAGCCUUAUUUUCACACAUUAGGAAACUGAGGUUCAAGAAAUAUUAAGCAGCCUACCCAAGGUCACAUGGCUGGUAAGAGGUAGAAUAGGAAUUUGAACACAUAUCUGUGUGGUUCCAAAGCCUAUGUCCUUAUAUACUACACUGCCUAAUGAAAUAUUAGAUCUUAAAAGCCAAGACUAGAAAAUCUGUGCUUAAGGCCAGUCCCACAAGGUUCUCACAGAUGUACUUUAUAAAAACACAGAAGCCAGAGAGACAAUACUGCUUUCCCCUCAAUACUAAGCCUAAAUGUAGACACUAGAAUCACAGACAUACCCCUUUACCCUAAGAGAGGACCACAUCUGGGGAGGAUCCCGGCAGUUGACUGUCACAGAGAGUUAAAGCUUAAAUGACUGAGGGGUAGAUGAGGACUGUCAAUGCUCUGAAACUGAAGACCUGACUCCUCUUAGCACCCUUGUGAGUCAAAGGCUGCUACAGCCCAGAGGAUGCUGGUUUUCUAAGUUUCUUUGCCCCUGACAGUCUUUGAAUACAGAGAAACCUUCAGAACCAUGUCUGUGCUCCCUCAAGUGGGAACAUUUGGAAAUUUCAUUGUUAUCUAGGAACGCAGGAGGGGUCAUGAUAAUUUCAAUCUACUGGAAUGGACAAGUUUGGCUCCGUUUGAUCUGGGUAAUAUACCCAAACUAACUUAAAGUCAUACUUCACCUACAUAGCUGCUGUAGUAACAUGAAAUUAAAAGCCUCGGCUUGAGCCUGGUAAGUUGGCUGGUAAACAGGGUCAAGUUGGCAGGACAGCCCUAAACGUCCCUCCCCUAAUGGGCCAGGGUGGGGGCAGAGGGGGAGGGGAAUAAUCUCCUUCUCUUCUCUCUGGGCUGCAUACAACUAUCAGCUUGGCCUGGCAUUUUGGCAAGGCUAUCGGAACAACAGCCUCAUCACUUAUAAGUGGGAGAGAGGGCUGUUCAGCAGUAAAGAUACACACAUAGUAUAACACAGUCUCACAAAGAUCUAUACAGAGACACAGAAACAGUUGCUUCUGUAGAAAUUAUUGUACCCAUUAUAUAAUACUUACAUACUGCACUGUGCUACAGUGUUUUGUUUUGUUGGUUCAUUAUCUAUCCAAACAGGUUUUAAAUUCCUGGAAGCCUAGAACUAUUUUGUAUUUCUCUGUAUCACCCAUAACAUCUAGCAUGGGGUUUUGCAUAUAAAUCUCAAUUGCUUUGUUUUUUAACUCUCAAAUUAAUAACGAUAAUGAUGCACACCGAUAUGAACAGAGAGACCUAUGAUUAAGUUACAGAGAGAGAAAACAGAUGUACAGCUAGAGAUACAGAAACCUACACAAUAGUCAACCACAACUGAAUAUGACUUUAUCUUUCUGCCUAUUUAUCCACAGAGGAGGAGAAUUACGUCCACUCUUCUCUGCUUUUAAUAACACAGGAGACCUGAGAAAGUCCCACUGUAAUACAUGAGUACAAAAUAUUAUUAUACAGACGCAGGCUAGAUCUGACACAUGGACUCACAGUUUCUUCUGAACUCCUGAUCCACAUUUCUAAUUGUUUGCUGGACAACCACAGAUGUCACACAGACUCCUCAAAUGCUUCAAUACAAAACAGUAUCUGUCCUUCCACCCUGUUAUUGUUACUGUGGUUCCCAUCUUUUUUUUUUUUUGCAUUGCUCUCGUAGGUGCCUAGAACUGUAGUUUUGAUUCCUCCAAGAAUGGGCCACGCCAACAUGUCUGCUUAGGAUCGCAGGGCAGGGCAUGACCUAAACUUGUCCUUAACAUCUAUCAGCUAAGCUGAUAUGUAAGAAAUGCCUCAAGUCCCUUUCUAUCCUUUCCACUUUUACAGUUUUAACUAUAGCUUUUACCUCUCACUUCUGCAGCAUUCUCUCAAUUGGUCUCCCUGCCCUAAAUCUAUCUCCUUUUCAUCUUUCAUGCUGUCUCCAAGUUCUCUCACUAAGCAUCUCAGGUUUGUAAGGGACUCUUAUCUCCAGCAACCAGGAGCUCAAUACUUUCUGAAGUAACUCCAUCCAUUUGCAGAAGCUGUUGAGAACAUUCCUAAAGCACACUUACUGCCUUGCUUAUAGAUCUUCAUGGCUCCCCUUAUUACAAAACAAAGUUCAAACGUAGUGUGGCAUGCAAUACCUUCAACCUGACCUCGGCCUACUUUUCCAAUUUUUUCUCCCAGUGCAAGCAAAAUCCAAACCUCCAGCAACAUCAUGCCACUGGCUCACCCCCAAUUAAUCUUUACAUACCCCGAUUUCUAUGCCCGUGCUCACACUGUUCUCUCAAACUGCAAAGCCCUCUCUUAGGUUUACAAUAAUUUCUCCCUCCCCAUGCUUCCACAGUCCUUUGUUUGCAUGUUGAUGAUAGCAUUUAUUACAGUCUACGUUCACUAACAACUGUCAUUGGCUUGCCCUCACCCCCGCUCUAGGCAGGCUGAGCAUUUUCAAAGCAAGGGUUUUCUUUUCUUUUUAAAACAAUUUCUAUCCCAAGAACCUAAUCAGGACAUAAAAUGUGAGGGCCAAAUUAGAAAAUCUAUAUAAAAAUGUUUUGUAAACUAUAACACAUUUAUGAGUAAGUAAAAUAAAAAUUGAUAUGUUGUUUUCAAUUUAAUGGAAUCAGACCCUUCUUUUAUUUAUUUAUUUAUUUAUUUAUUUAUUUAUUUAUUUAUUUAGUAAGUAAGUAAGUAAACUCUACUGCCCAACCUGGGGCUAGAACUCACAGCCCUGAGAUCAAGAGUCGCAUGCUCUGCUGCCUGAGCCAGCCAGGCGCCCCAAACUCUUUAUUCUCUUUAUUCUUGUGCAAAAUCCUCUUAAUCUGUAAGAGCUAAUUCCCUUGCCUGGGUGACCAACUGCAAAUCAACUUUACCACACUUCCGUCUGUUUUCUCAUUUAUAACUCGAGGGCCAUGACCUCUCUGCAGGCAGAGAAAGGGUGUGGUAAAGGAAUUACUAUAGGCAUGGGACUGACCCAAAGAAAGGUGAACCUGCCAGUAACAUGAUAAAAACGAAGACAUGAAGGGUUACUCUGCUUGACAGAGAAUACAUGGUUCCAGAUGCUAGAAGGCGGCUCCGGAGAGUGAGGGUGGGUCCAAACAUGCAGCGGGCUACCUGCAGCAUCUCUGGGAGGAUGACAGGGGCCUGCCACAAUUGGGCAAUGCCUGCUAGCCAAGAAUGAUCCGUGCCGCCUGCUUACAGUCGCAGAGCAGGGCAUAACCUAAACUUGUCCGGGGACAGGGCGGCCUCUAACACUAAAAAGAUUCCCUCCUUCAGAGAAAGCCCACUUUUCAGUCUUACUAAGGCAGUGUGAGUUCGCUGGACACCUCGAAGCAGAGGUCUUUGUGAUCGCAAGGCUCACACUCAGACAACUGAGGGCCAGGUGCUACCUGCAAGUGGCAGUCCCUUGGAAGCCCCCCCUCCCCCGCCUCACCCAGGAAAGCCGGGUCACAACCCUGCUCUCUGGCAAACCUCUGAAGGUUUGAGGUGCUAUGAGGAGAGGAGGCCCCAAAUCGCUAGGGUGUGCGCGGGUUCCUAGCGGAGAGCAAACACUGCCAGCUUGGGCUGAGACUACCGCGGACGGAAAGUAUGCACCGCGCGGCCCAGUCCUAGGAGAUGCGCCCAGCGAAGGAGCGGAGGGGCAGAGUCACGGGAUAGGACAGGCACCGGCUUCUCGUUUACUGGGCAGCAGCGCCGGUCCCUGCCCAGGCCUCCCUGUCCCCUAACGGGGGGUCUCAGGCUCCACAGCGCCCCCCGCCGCCCUCCCGUGCUCCUCACCGUCUCCAUUUCAAGAGUCGCAGACUGGGCUCGCUCGCUUUAGGAAGCUCUCUGGGAGCCGGGCGGGAGGGGUGGAGGGGGGACAGGUCCCGCCCCAUGUCCGGUACCGCUACACCACUUCCGCCUACGUCAGACAGACGCAAGCCAAGGGCGGAAGGCGGGGAGUUCACUCUUCCGGCGUGGCCUGGCCUGAGUAACCGCCCUCCCCCGGGUCCUCUCGGACCUCACGGAUCCGCCGACGGCGAGGGUGACUGGACCGAGCCGCUUGUAUUUAAAAUGUUCUUUUUUUAUUUGUCGUUUAAAAACAAACUUGGAAGAAGCAAAAUCCAAAACUUGCCCUUUGCCUCUUGCAACAUAAAUUAUGUACAGUUCAGAAUGAUCGCUGAUACAAAACAUGCCAAGGACAGGGCGCUGGGGGUGGAGGGAGAGAGGGCGCUUUAAAAAAGGGAAUCAUUUCAUCCGUUGUUACGAAGGACCAACCUUGCUGUACAGGAUA
rnacentral:lncRNA from 1 species